UCAGACGAUGCGUCAUGCAUAUCAAUAAGCGGAGGAAAAGAAACUAACAAGGAUUCCCCUAGUAACGGCGAGUGAAGCGGGAAGAGCUCAAAUUUGAAAUCUUAAAGGGUUUCCCUUUACGAAUUGUAGUUUAAAGAAGUGUUUUCUGUUGAGGUUUUGGUAAAAGUUCUUUGGAAUAGGACAUCAUAGAGGGUGAGAAUCCCGUAUUUGACCUUUACUUUCAACUUUGUGAUACACUUUCAAAGAGUCGGAUUGUUUGGGAAUGCAGUCCAAAAUGGGUGGUAAAUUUCAUCUAAAGCUAAAUAUUGGCGAGAGACCGAUAGCGAGCAAGUACCGUGAGGGAAAGAUGAAAAGAACUUUGAAAAGAGAGUUAAACAGUACGUGAAAUUGUCAAAAGGGAAGCGUUUGACACCAGUGUUGUUUUUCUGAAAAUCAAUUAAAGAACUGUUUAUGCUAAGCUGUUUAGACUUUAUCAGCUAACUGUUUAGUUUUGAGCUUUUCUUUAAUGCACUUUUCAGUUAACAAGUCAACAUCAAUUUCUUUUGCUGUAAAAAAGCUUGAGGAAGGUGGCUUGAGAUUCGUCUUAAGUGUUUAUAGCCUCUUGCCUAUGCAGUCGGAGAGAUUGAGGUCUGCAGCGUAGAUCCUUCGGGGCUAAAUGCAUUUGUGCUAAGUUAUAGCAUUUUAUAGACAACUUGUUGACUAUGAUUUGUCUUGUAGCUUACUCGCUUAUGUUAUUUUACCUACGCUUAGGAUGUUGAGCGCAUGUCUCUCUCU
rnacentral:rRNA from 1 species